rnacentral:rRNA from 1 species
GAUGAACGCUGGCGGCGUGCCUAAUACAUGCAAGUCGAGCGAACAGACGAGGAGCUUGCUCCUCUGACGUUAGCGGCGGACGGGUGAGUAACACGUGGAUAACCUACCUAUAAGACUGGGAUAACUUCGGGAAACCGGAGCUAAUACCGGAUAAUAUAUUGAACCGCAUGGUUCAAUAGUGAAAGACGGUUUUGCUGUCACUUAUAGAUGGAUCCGCGCCGCAUUAGCUAGUUGGUAAGGUAACGGCUUACCAAGGCAACGAUGCGUAGCCGACCUGAGAGGGUGAUCGGCCACACUGGAACUGAGACACGGUCCAGACUCCUACGGGAGGCAGCAGUAGGUAAUCUUCCGCAAUGGGCGAAAGCCUGACGGAGCAACGCCGCGUGAGUGAUGAAGGUCUUCGGAUCGUAAAACUCUGUUAUUAGGGAAGAACAAAUGUGUAAGUAACUAUGCACGUCUUGACGGUACCUAAUCAGAAAGCCACGGCUAACUACGUG